AGAGCGAACGCUGGCGGCAGGCUUAACACAUGCAAGUCGAGCGGGCGUAGCAAUACGUCAGCGGCAGACGGGUGAGUAACGCGUGGGAACAUACCUUUUGGUUCGGAACAACACAGGGAAACUUGUGCUAAUACCGGAUAAGCCCUUACGGGGAAAGAUUUAUCGCCGAAGGAUUGGCCCGCGUCUGAUUAGCUAGUUGGUGAGGUAACGGCUCACCAAGGCGACGAUCAGUAGCUGGUCUGAGAGGAUGAUCAGCCACAUUGGGACUGAGACACGGCCCAAACUCCUACGGGAGGCAGCAGUGGGGAAUAUUGGACAAUGGGCGCAAGCCUGAUCCAGCCAUGCCGCGUGAGUGAUGAAGGCCCUAGGGUUGUAAAGCUCUUUUGUGCGGGAAGAUAAUGACGGUACCGCAAGAAUAAGCCCCGGCUAACUUCGUGCCAGCAGCCGC
rnacentral:rRNA from 1 species